rnacentral:rRNA from 1 species
GAGUUUGAUCCUGGCUCAGAUUGAACGCUGGCGGAAUGCUUUACACAUGCAAGUCGAGCGGCAGCGCGGGGCAACCUGGCGGCGAGCGGCGAACGGGUGAGUAAUGCAUCGGAACAUGUCCAUGUCGUGGGGGAUAGCCCGGCGAAAGCCGGAUUAAUACCGCAUACGCCCGAGAGGGGGAAAGUGGGGGACCGCAAGGCCUCACGCGAUUGGUUGGCCGAUGUCCGAUUAGCUAGUUGGUGGGUAAAGCCACCAAGGCGAUGAUCGGUAGCUGGUCUGAGAGGAUGAUCAGCCACACUGGGACUGAGACACGGCCCAGGACUCCUACGGGAGGCAGCAGUGGGGAAUUUUGGACAAUGGGGGCAACCC